UACCCGCAGCACAAGUGGUGGUCAUUAUUAUUGGGCCUAAAGCGUCCGUAGCUGGCGUGUUAGAUGCCUGGGUAAAUCGAUGCGCUCAACGUAUCGAAUUCCGGGUAGACCGGCAGGCUUGGGACCGGGAGAGGCGUGAGCUACUCGGGGGGUAGGGGUAAAAUCCUGUAAUCCUCCGGGGAGGACCAGUGGCGAAGGCGGCUUGCCAGAACACACUCGACGGUGAGGGAUGAAAGCUGGGGGAGCAAACCGG
rnacentral:rRNA from 1 species